GGGAGGGGCCUGCGUCCGAUUAGCUGGUUGGUGGGGUAAGAGCCCACCAAGGCGACGAUCGGUAGCCGGUCUGAGGGGACGGACGGCCACACUGGGACUGAGAUACGGCCCAGACUCCUACGGGAGGCAGCAGUGGGGAAUUUUGGGCAAUGGGCGAAAGCCUGACCCAGCAACGCCGCGUGGAGGAAGAAGGCCUUCGGGUUGUAAACUCCUGUCCCGAGGGACGAAGUAGGUGACGGUACCUUGGGAGGAAGCCCCGGCUAACUCCGUGCCAGCAGCCGCGGUAAUACGGGGGGGGCGAGCGUUGUUCGGAAUUACUGGGCGUAAAGGGCGCGUAGGCGGUCUCGGAAGUUCUGGGUGAAAGUCCCCGGCUCAACCGGGGGAGGUCCCAGGAAACCACGGGGCUGGAGUGCUGGAGAGGGAAGUGGAAUUCCCGGUGGAGCGGUGAAAUGCGUAGAGAUCGGGAGGAACACCGGAGGCGAAGGCGGCUUCCUGGACAGACACUGACGCUGAGGCGCGAAAGCCAGGGGAGCGAACGGGAUUAGAUACCCCGGUAGUCCUGGCCCUAAACGAUGAACACUGGGUGUGGGGGGCGCGAAAGCCUUCCGUGCCGGAGAUAACUUGUUAAG
rnacentral:rRNA from 1 species